AACUAAGAUAGAGGUGCGGAAUUUAAGAGUAGUAUUACGGAUUUAAGCAUAACGAAGUAAUAUGAAAGGAACUUUCGCCGAAGUAAAUAGUUGAUUGCUUUAAUACUAUUUACUGGUUUUAUGUAAAAUAUGCAUAAAACUGUCACAAAAUAAUUUGUGGAGAGCUAUUUUCAAU
rnacentral:ncRNA from 2 species